UCCCAGGGCCGCGCUUGGUCCCCAAAGUCCCCAGCGAUGCUUGGGACGUCCCUCACUUCGCUCCUUUUCCUUGGGGCCACCGCGCGCCCCUAGGUUGCCUGCCAUCCCUCCUAGAGAGAGGUGGAUGGCCGCGACAUUCCAGGGAGGAGAAACGGAGGAGAUUGAGGGGGCAAAGAUGCCCUUCUAACGUCCCACCCCGUGAAGGCAUCAGGCUACGCCCGCGAGGCGCCCUCAGGCUACAGCCUUCGCAGCGCUUCCUUCCCUCGCCCCGCCCCUCUGCGCGGGGGAAGGGCACUGGGCGGCCGGCGCUCUCUGAUUGGCUGCCGUGUCAGGGUUCCACGCAGCGAUUGUGCCGUGGGCGGCCUUCGGCGCCUGCGUGGGCAAGGUGGGGAACCGGCUUGGUAGUUGCUGAAGUUGGAGGCGGGGGAGUGCUCCCUCGCAGCGAGUCUCGGCGGUGGCCGACAGGAAAGUUGAGAGCAGUCGCAAAUAUGAGCCUUUCGGUCGCCCUCCAGCACCACCAUCCUGGACUCCACCCUGUCGCGGACCCUCAGUGACGCGGUGCAGCUGCCACUAUACCAGAAGAGCAUGUACCCAAAGAGAAGCAGGACUGAGAACCAACACGGGGGCUUGCUGGAAGGGAUCCGCCCCAGCCUUCUGACUUCAGAGUGUCUCAAGCUCCAGUGGCCAUGGGGAUGGAGCUGCCCCUUGAUAUGCACUUUAGAAAGGUCAAUUCCCCCAUCCCCCAAAAGAAACGGAGAAAAAGAGAGUUUCACUGUUACCCUGACUGGAGUGCAAUGGCGCGAUCUUGACUCACCGCAACCUCCGCCUUCUGGGUUCAAGCAAUUCUCCUGCCUCAGCCUCCCAAGUAGCUGGGAAUACAGGUGUGCACCACCAUGCCCAGCUAAUUUUUGUAUUUUUAGUAGAGACGGGGUUUCACCAUGUUGACCAGGAUGGUCUCGAUCUCUUCACCUCGUGAUCCACCCACCUUGGCCUCCCAAAGUGCUUUUUGUAAUUCUUAAGUGUGAUGAUUGGGUUUCCACACUCAAACCUGAGUGUGAACCCUUUUACAACAGCAGCACAUUAUGAGUCUGAUGUUUAAAAAUAAAGGUCAAUUUCAACUGUCCUAUUAUUAUUAUUAUUUUUCUUAAGACAGAGUUUCGCUCUUGUUACCCAGAAUGGAGUGCAAUGGCAUGAUUUCAGCUCACCGCAACCUCUGCCUCCUGGGUUCAGGCAAUUCUCCUGCCUCAGCCUCCCGAGUAGCUGGGACUACAGGCACACACCACCAUGCCCAACUAAUUUUUGUAUUUUUAGUAGAGAUGGGGUUUCACCUUGUUGAUCAGGAUGGUCUCGAUCUCUUGACCUCGUGAUCCACCCACCUCAGCCUCCCAAAGUGCUGGGAUUAUAGGCGUGAGCCACCGCGCCCAGCUUGUCCUAUUAAUUUUACAAGAUUCCAAAUCUCCUUCCUCAAAUCUUUUUACAUCAGCACAUUACCUGUCUGAUGUUUAUAAAUAAAUUUCGAUUUCAACUCUCGUAUUAAUUUUACAAGUCUUCAAAUUAUGCUUCUAAAGAACUGAAACAUUUGACUACUGGCCUGCCUCAUUAUCAUGAGAUUUCUAUUUGAUAUAAUAUCAAUUUAUAGGAAUAUUGCUGAUUUUGGGAUUGCACUGCCUGCCACUAAAAUAGUAUACUUUCCAAUAAGGAUGAGGUCAAUAUAAAAAGUAUUUACUUUUAAUGAUUACAUUGGGCUCUCUAAUAUCUUGCCUUUGGGAUACUUAGCAAAUAGUCACUUACAUAAUAUACUAACUAAAUGCACCAAUUUAAACAGUUUCAAUUCCUUUAUUUUUUUUUUAGAAUUUCAAAGCUUUCAGACACUGCUACCAAAAAAAUCACAAUAGAUUUUUUACCUGGUUGUUACACAUUACAAAUCAUCUCAUAGUAAAUCAUUAAUCACUGGGAUAUACAUUUUAUAAGGACAGAGAUAUUUAUCCAGUUUUUUCACUGUAUCACCCAGCACCUAUUCCUGGCACAUUAUCAGCUUAAAAAAAAUGUGUUGUUAAAUACCUGCAAGCUCCUGUUUUAUCUUAUGGAGAUCACCAUAUUACUUCCAAAUUUAGGCAUACUGUCAAUAUGUGUAAUCUCUUCUUACUAUUGCUUGAUGCCAUUAAAAUAUUAUGCAUGAUCUGAACAGCAGUUCUAAAUCAUAAGUUCUUGACUUUCAAGUUAUACAGUAACAUGUGGCAAAUGGGUAGUAAGAGAUCAACAUAGAUUCUCUGAUGUUGUGCUGAGGAGGCAAGACUCAAUGUGGAGCCUGGAUACACAGACUGCUCUAGGGCUAAGGAGAAAGCCACCGAUGGAAGACUAACUGUGCAUCUCUGAAUACAGACUGCCAGAGUGUCAAAUUUUAUACUGAUGCCAAGGUGAACAUUAAAUAGUGCUACAGGGCUGAUAACGAACAUUGCCGUAAUAAAGUAGUUAGAAGCAACCACUGUGAAUCAUAAAAAAGCAGCUCAGAUUUGGUGUGCUGCAAGUAAUUUAUACUAAUGAAAAUUAAAAUAGUCAAGUUCAUGAACAAUCAUUUGUGAAUAAUCAAAAUUAUUCCUAAAACAUUACUCUUGCCCUCACAUUUCUAAGAAAAAAGCAGCAGACAUACAACUAAUUCGCUGGGAACUAAAUAUAACACAGUGAACACGAGUGGGAAUGUGUGUCAUAUGAAUGCCACCUAUCAUGUCAAAGUAGGCUGACACUGCAGAUCUGAAGCAAGCAGUUCUCUACCAGCUAAUAAAUACUAAAUACGAAUCCCUGUUCAACUUCAACCAAGUAACCUCUGGCAUAUAUCCUGUUUCUUAAUAUGAAAAUAAGAAUAAUCCCUGUCUGCAUUUGUAAAUAAUAAAAUUUAUAAAGAAAAAUAAACAUAUACUUCUGAUCCUUUGAUCAACAUAGUCUGCCUACCUGGCUGGCUGGACUGAGGAGGAGCAGGUUCAGAACCCACUGGGAAAACUCCAAUUCAAGGUAAGAAGACAAGUAAACAGGCCAUUAUUUAACAAACAAAACAACCUUUUAUAAAAUAUGCAUUAUACCCCUUCACACCCACCAAGAUGCCUAUAAUCAAAAAGAUAGUAAGUGUUGACAAGAAUGUAAAGAAACUGGAACCCUCACACAUUGCUGGUAAGAAUGUAAAAUGAUACUGUCACUUUGGAAGACAGUUCCUCAAAAUGUUAGCUAUAGUUAUCAUAUGAGCCAGCAAUUCCACUCCUAGGUAUACACACAAAAGAACUAACAAUAAAUCUACACAAAAGCUUAUACACAAAUGUUCACAGCAGCAUUAUUCAUAAUUGCAAAAAUAACCCAAAUGUCCAUCAACAACAGACAAUGUGGUAUAUUCAUAUAUUGGAACAAUAUUUGGCAAUUAAAAAAUGCAGGAUUAUAUGCAAAGAUAGAUAAACCUUGAAAGCAUGGUAAUGAAAGGCGUCAGACACAAAAGACCACAAGUCGUCUGAUUGCACUUACAUAAAAUGUCUAGAAUAGGCAAAUCUACAGAGACAGAAAGUAGAUGAGUGGUUGUUUAAGACUGAGAGAUUUGGCAAAAAUAGUGAGUGACUGUGAAUAAUGGGUACAAAGUUUCUUUUUGUGAUGGAAAUGUUACAGAUUAGACAGUGGAAACAGCUGUAUUCACAGUUGUCUGUGAAUACAUUAAAAUCAUUGAACUGUACACUUUAAAUGAGUGAGUUCUAUGGUAUGUGAACUAUAUUUUGAUAAAGCUAUUAAAAUAUAUUGCGCAUUAUCUUUAAAAAAUUAUAUCUUUUUUUUUUUUUUUUUUUGAGACGGAGUUUCGCUCUUGUUACCCAGGCUGGAGUGCAAUGGCGCGAUCUUGGCUCACCGCAAUCUCCACCUCCUGGGUUCAGGCAAUUCUCCUGCCGCAGCCUGCCGAGCUAAUUACAGGCAUGCGACACCAUGCCCAGCUAAUUUUUUGUAUCUUUAGUAGAGACGGGGUUUCACCAUGUUGACCAGAAUGGUCUCGAUCUCUUGACCUUGUGAUCCACCCGCCUUGGCCUCCCAAAGUGCUGGGAUUACAGGCUUGAGCCACCGCGCCUGGCCAAAAAAUUGUAUCUUUCAACCAUCAAAUGACAGGUCUUAUCAAGAUGAAGUUGGAUAUGUUGUCAUCCCGACAGCUACAUUCCAUACAGUUCACAAAGUCCUCUCACAGCCCGCAGUCCCCAUGACCAAGAGUAUUCCCCAGGGCAUCUUCCCAGAGAAGAUGCUUUUUCUUCCUAGGAUCACAGGUGGAGAUGGUUUCAACUGGGGCUGCUUCUGUGGCAAGAGGGAAUGGGCCAACACUCUAAGAAAAGCAGAAUGAGAGAGGGA